rnacentral:rRNA from 1 species
GACGAACCGUGCGAACGUUGUUCGGAAUCACUGGGCUUAAAGGGCGCGUAGGCGGCGUGACAAGUCACUUGUGAAAUCUCCGGGCUUAACCCGGAACGGCCAAGUGAUACUGUCGUGCUAGAGUGCAGAAGGGGCAAUCGGAAUUCUUGGAGUAGCGGUGAAAUGCGUAGAUAUCAAGAGGAACACCUGAGGUGAAGACGGGUUGCUGGGCUGACACUGACGCUGACAGCGCGAAAGCUAGGGGAGCAAACGGG